UACGAAGGGGGCUAGCGUUGUUCGGAAUUACUGGGCGUAAAGGGCGCGUAGGCGGUACUUCAAGUCAGGCGUGAAAGCCCCGGGCUCAACCUGGGAACCGCGCUUGAGACUGGAGAACUAGAGUUCGGGAGAGGAUGGUGGAAUUCCCAGUGUAGAGGUGAAAUUCGUAGAUAUUGGGAAGAACACCGGUGGCGAAGGCGGCCUUCUGGACAGUAACUGACGCUGAGACGCGAAAGCGUGGGGAGCAAACAGG
rnacentral:rRNA from 1 species